rnacentral:rRNA from 1 species
GACGUAGGGGGCGAGCGUUGUCCGGAUUUAUUGGGCGUAAAGCGCGCGUAGGCGGCCCGUUAAGUCGGAUGUGAAAACCCGUGGCUCAACCACGGGCCUGCAUCCGAUACUGGCGGGCUCGAGGCAGGCAGGGGAGAUCGGAAUUCCUGGUGUAGCGGUGAAAUGCGCAGAUAUCAGGAGGAACACCGGUGGCGAAGGCGGCAUCCUGGACCGGUAUUGACGCUGAGGCGCGAAAGCUAGGGGAGCAAACGGG